CCUACGGGAGGCAGCAGUGGGGAAUUUUCCGCAAUGGGCGAAAGCCUGACGGAGCAAUACCGCGUGAGGGAGGAAGGCUCUUGGGUUGUAAACCUCUUUUUUCAGGGAAGAUAAUGACGGUACCUGAGGAAUAAGCAUCGGCUAACUCCGUGCCAGCAGCCGCGGUAAUACGGAGGAUGCAAGCGUUAUCCGGAAUGAUUGGGCGUAAAGCGUCCGCAGGUGGUUUUAAAAGUCUGUUGUUAAAGCGUGAGGCUUAACCUCAUAAGGGCAAUGGAAACUGUAAGACUAGAGUACGUUCGGGGCAAGGGGAAUUCCCAGUGUAGCGGUGAAAUGCGUAGAGAUUGGGAAGAACACCGGUGGCGAAAGCGCCUUGCUAGGCCGUAACUGACACUGAGGGACGAAAGCUAGGGGAGCGAAUGGGAUUAGAUACCCCAGUAGUCCUAGCCGUAAACGAUGGAUACUAGGCGUUGUCUGUAUCGACCCGGACAGUGCCGUAGCUAACGCGUUAAGUAUCCCGCCUGGGGAGUACGCACGCAAGUGUGAAACUCAAAGGAAUUGACGG
rnacentral:rRNA from 1 species